UUUUAUGAAUCUGUGAAACUUAAAUAAUAAACUAGGAUUAGAUACCCUAUUAUUUUAAGUGUUAAUUUUAUUUACCAGGGUACUGUUAGUUAAAGUCUUUAAACCCAAAGAAUUUGGCGGUAUCUCAUUCCAUUCAGAGGAACCUAUCCCAUAAUUGAUAAUACACGAUUAACUUUACUUAAUUUAUUUGUUUGUAUAUCUCCGUUAUCAGAAAAUCUUUUUAGAGUUAUAAUUUUCUUGAUUUAUAAUUAUAAAAUAUUUCAGGUCAAGGUGCAGCUUAUAAUUAAGUGAGGAUGGGUUACAAUAUGUUUUUGCGUAUAAUGGAUUUAUUAGUGAAACACUAUUAAUGAAGGUGGAUUUGAUAGUAAUUUAAUUUAUUUAAUUUAAUUGAUAUUGGCUCUGAGGUGUGUACACAUCGCCCGUCGCUCUCAUUAUUGAUUGUUCUAUUUUAUUUUAAAGGUAGAGUUCAAGUUAGAUGAGAUAAGUCGUAACAUAGUAGAUGUACUGGAAAGUGUAUCUAGUAAGAU
rnacentral:rRNA from 1 species